UACCGAGGUCUCAAGCGUUGUUCGGAUUCAUUGGGCGUAAAGGGUGCGUAGGCGGCGCGGUAAGUCGGGUGUGAAAUCUUGGAGCUUAACUCCGAAACUGCAUUCGAUACUGCCGUGCUUGAGGACUGGAGAGGAGACUGGAAUUUACGGUGUAGCGGUGAAAUGCGUAGAUAUCGUAAGGAAGACCAGUGGCGAAGGCGGGUCUCUGGACAGUUCCUGACACUGAGGCACGAAGGCCAGGGGAGCAAACGGG
rnacentral:rRNA from 1 species